UCUCCUUAUAAAAGGUUAAAUAUAUCACUACUGUAAGAGGAAACCCGGAGAAUAUCUUCUUUUUUUCUUUUUUCUUCUUUUUUUUUUUCAUUUUUAUCGGUACCGGGGAUCGAACUCACAACUGCCUGCUUGCAAGGCAGGUACUUAUGCCGCUGAGCUAAAUCCCCAGCCCCGGAGAAUAUCUUCUUAAACUAGGAGUCGCGAGAGAUUUCUUAAACAGGACACGGAAGUGCUAAAAAUAAAGGAAAAGGGAAAUCCACGCGUCUCUCUCUGAAGGUGACCUGGCCGCAGCCUCCCGCUCUGCCUUAGGGAUCCUUGCCUUCCUCCCAGUGGCUUGCACCCCUGCCAGGCCCUUAGCAGGACCUCCACACAGGAUUGCCUCCAUCUGAACUUCCACGCCCCAGAUCAGGUCAUGAGCAGAACUAAUGCUGAGUGUCAAAAGGAGAGUUGCUGGCCCUGUUUGAGAAGACAGAAAAACAGAGGAGUGGAAGAGAUAAUGUAGGACUGGGAGCCUGUGGGCCAGGGGAAUAAAGACAGAAAGAGCCAUGGAGACGGGAGCAAUCAUGGUGGAAGUAAAUGAAAUCAGAAGUGGAACUUGCCAUCAACUGAAAUGGGGAGGGAAUGUUGCAGACUUGGGGGGAAGUAAGAAAUGAAGUUUCAAACACCUUGUUUCUGAAAUAUGUUUUUAGGUAUCUUAGUAGAAAUGUCAAAUAGAUACUUGAAUAUUAAA